rnacentral:rRNA from 1 species
AUUUAAGGCUCUGCCACCCUGAACAAGCCCAAUCCCGUCUGAGCUCGGAAGCUAAGCAGGGUCGGGCCUGGUUAGUACUUGGAUAGGAGACCACCUAGGAAGACCAGGUGCUGUAGGUG